rnacentral:lncRNA from 1 species
AAAACUGAAGGAAGAAGUCAUUAACAUUCUUGCUAAGAGUAGGCAGAUUUGAUGUUCACUUCAUAUUACUUCCAAAUUUAUAUUUUAAGAGAUUGUGCUAUCGUAUUUUUCAUGUAGGAAACUUAUUUUGCUUUCCUAAUUUUCUAUCAAUUUCUAUUAGUUUUUGCCUUAUCUUUUACAUUUUAGUUUGGAGAUGUUAUUUGCAUUAUAGAGAAUGAUGUUUUAUGCUAUUAUUUG